rnacentral:rRNA from 1 species
AUUGAACGCUGGCGGCAUGCUUUACACAUGCGAGUCGAACGGCAGCGCGGGCUUCGGCCUGGCGGCGAGUGGCGAACGGGUGAGUAAUACAUCGGAACGUGCCCAGUAGUGGGGGAUAGCUCGGCGAAAGCCGGAUUAAUACCGCAUACGACCUGAGGGUGAAAGCGGGGGAUCUUCGGACCUCGCGCCAUUGGAGCGGCCGAUGGCAGAUUAGCUAGUUGGUGGGGUAAAGGCCUACCAAGGCGACGAUCUGUAGCUGGUCUGAGAGGACGACCAGCCACACUGGGACUGAGACACGGCCCAGACUCCUACGGGAGGCAGCAGUGGGGAAUUUUGGACAAUGGGCGAAAGCCUGAUCCAGCAAUGCCGCGUGUGUGAUGAAGGCCUUCGGGUUGUAAAGCACUUUUGGCGGGAACGAAAAGGACUGUGCCAAUACCACGGUUCGAUGACGGUACCCGCAGAAUAAGCACCGGCUAACUACGUG